ACCGGUCUUCAAUAUUCCCGGCCGCCGCUUCCACUGCUCUCCGUCCAAAUCGUCGCCACCUCUCCCAAAUCCUCCACUGCGCUUGCUCGCUCUCUCCAAAAUCGCCGCACCGCGUCCUCACCCAGUACUCACCCCCGCCCCCACCCGAGAUCCUGCUGCCUCUCGACCUUAAUCUUGUCCGCGCCCUCCACCCAGAUCCUGCGUGCAUGUGCAUCCUCCCUCGUCGGCGGCAAGAACAAGCUCGUGCGUUGUCCACCUCCCCGACUAAACACAGCCAGGUGCGCACACGGUUUGGGGUGUCUGCGGUGAAGGAAUUCCCAACAAGCCUGCAACUCAAUGCCGCCUCCGUUCUUGCCUGCUUAUUUUAGAGUAUAUUCAUCUGCUUAUUUUAGGGUAUGUGGUCUUUGCUCGUGGGCUGCUCCUAGUACAAGUGAACUAGAUCUGAGUUGAUGUGUUCUUGAUUUCUAAACUUGGCAUUGUUCCGAGUCUUUCUCCAACUUAUCCCUUAUCAUUAGAUGGGAAUUUAUUCAAUAAGUAGAUCUGAAA